rnacentral:rRNA from 1 species
CCUACGGGUGGCAGCAGUGGGGAAUAUUGGACAAUGGGCGAAAGCCUGAUCCAGCCAUGCCGCGUGUGUGAAGAAGGCCUUCGGGUUGUAAAGCACUUUCAGUGGGGAAGAAAGCCUUGGGGCUAAUACCCUCGAGGAAGGACAUCACCCACAGAAGAAGCACCGGCUAACUCCGUGCCAGCAGCCGCGGUAAUACGGAGGGUGCGAGCGUUAAUCGGAAUUACUGGGCGUAAAGCGCGCGUAGGCGGUCUGAUAAGCCGGUUGUGAAAGCCCCGGGCUCAACCUGGGAACGGCAUCCGGAACUGUCAGGCUAGAGUGCAGUAGAGGAAGGUAGAAUUCCCGGUGUAGCGGUGAAAUGCGUAGAGAUCGGGAGGAACACCAGUGGCGAAGGCGGCCUUCUGGACCGACACUGACGCUGAGGUGCGAAAGCGUGGGUAGCAAACAGGAUUAGAUACCCCUGUAGUC